AUCUAAUUCUCACAUAUCCCUUCAUAUUAUUUUGUAUCUCCUUCUCUCCUCUUCAAUCUCGCUUCUCCUCCCCGGUAAAGAAGACAAAGAAGCUCCCUCCACGGCGCCCUGCCAAGGUCACUGCAGCUUGUGCGUUCUAUAGAGCAUCGCCGUCUUGUGCGUUCUUCAUCACUGUCGUCAGCCUCUCCCUUCUACAUCAAUGUGAGAGAUUGUUGCUGGAGCUUCUGGGAUUGCUAUUUUGCCUGGAAUUGGGGUCUCAUUAAGGGAAGUAUUAAUUGAUUGUGUAUUGGCUCCUAUUCUAGCGAUUUCAAUGAUAACUGAACAUUUGGAUGAGCUUAUUUUGCUUUCUUGAAAAGAAAAAGGAAAAAGGAAAAAGAAAAAAAGGGAAAGAAAAAAGAGUCAUGUUUUUUAAUUAACAGAUAUAAUGAAAAGAAACUUUGAUUAAAAAAAGAAAAAAGGAACUGAUUGUAGGAGUUCUUUAAGCUAUCUAAAGUCUAUAACUUACUUUAGCAUAUUAGAAGAAUCCUGUUAGUUUAUUCAUUUAUUUUUUUAAUUAACUCUAUUCGGCAUCUUUGAUCCGAGAAGAGCAAGCAAAUACAGCAAAAUUUACAUUAUAUGAACAAGCUUUCAUCAAAUCAACCAUUUAUAUAUUGAAACAGUGUAUGGUUUUGAUUAGAAUUGAGUCUUACUGAUGUGAUAGUAGAAACUACGUCUUAUAUGAACAAUAAAAGGUAGAAAAUAAAUUAAAUGAUAUAUUGAUCUGCAUAAAGCCAUAAACUCAAGAGUCUCUAGUUCAAAUACAAAUUCAUUCCCAAUUUCUCUGAAUUCUUGCAAAACAAUGAACUGACUGUGUAUUAUUCUCAUUUUCUCAUCUAUGUUCAUCACUUCACCCCAGUUCUCAUUUGGCUAUGCUCUGAACUUAACAGAAUGAACAUUCAUUUUAUUUCAGAUUUUGGCUUACAAAUUCAUUUUAUGUUUUGAUGUUUCUUCAUGUGUCGUUUAGAAAAAGAAAAUUUAAAAGCUGACUAAUUUUAUGGUUCUCCAGGUCUUUUGCUGAUGGAUUUCCAAAUUUUUUUAUAGAAAAUGCAGAAGAGCUCCGAGGUCAACACUUUUCUGUGAGAAAGACUUUGAAUUCAGAACUGUGGCAUGCUUGUGCUGGCCCUCGUCUCUUUGCCUCAAGUGGGAAGUCUCGUUCAUUACUUUCCCCAGGAACAUAGUGAGCAGUUAAGGCUUUACAAACAUUGAAGAAGGCUUUGGGGCUUCCUCCCAGGUUUGGGUGGAAUGGUGAUCCUUGUGUUCCUCAACAACAUCCAUGGAUUGAAGCAGACUGCCAGCUAAACAAGAGUAGCAGCAAAUGGCUCAUUGAUGGACUGUAAUUUCUUAUUAUCUUUAUUAGGUUUUUAUUAUACAUUUUGUUGUGCAGACCAUUUAGUGGCAUCUUAGCUUAAUGAUUACCUUCUUAUUCCAUGCAGUCUUUUCUUUCUUGUUACAAAACCAAAUACCAUUUCUUUUUUUCCCCUUUACCACAUAGCUCCUUAAGUAACAAAUUAGAAGCCAAUGGUUAUAGGUGUCUCUGCCCACAGAAAACUUACAAUCAGAUCCUGUUAAUUUAUUUUGGUUUACAGACAAUGUUUUCCUAAAUCAUUUGGGAAGUUUAAGUUUUGGUUUGCUUUGCUUUGCUUUGCUUUGCUUUGGUUUAUGAAAACAUCCCUUUCUAUGUUCCCUUUUUGAAUGUCCAUAUCAACUCCACUCUGCACUUGACAAAGAAGUUUGUACCACUAGGGCAUGAAGCCAUUAUGUUCAUGUUGAAAACUCAAAAUGAAUAUUUAAUCUCAAUAUUAUUUGUUAUUUCAUGCUGUUUCUGUUGAUGACCAGUGGUCUAAAGGGCUUCUUGCCAGAUGACAUAUCCAAACUACACAAUCUAUAAACCCUGUGAAUUAUAAGUAGAUUUUUUUGCGUUUAAGGCAAAGUUAUUGUGUACCCUAAUAUUUAUGUCAAUACAAUUCUUUUUUUAAAAAAGCAAUGUGUGUAAAUAUCGGAUGUAUAAACUAUGUAAAUUGUACUGGUGACAAUUAAAUAACAAGUACUGAUUGAUCUUUGAAUAAUUUGUCGGACCUUUAUAUUUUUCCUUAUUUUAACUUAUGACUUAAUAAGAAAUAGAAAGAAGUAACAGCAUCUCCUCUAUUCCUCAUGCUUAUUUUAUAUGUGCACCGAAGAAACUGGAGUGGAAAUAGCAUUCAUGGAGCUAUUCCAUCUGCACUUCGAAAAGUAACUAGCUUGCAAGUGCUGUAAGAAGUUUAUUUGUCCUCCUUCUAUUUAACCCGUAGUUUAGAUUUGUUGAGUUGAUCCUAUUUUCAUAGUUCAGAAAACACAUGGUACAAUUCCAAUGUGUGAUUCUCAUGUUCAACACUGUUGAGUUGGAAAUCAGUAACAGCUCUAAUCCUUGUGAAUUGAACAGCAGUUGUUGAGCAACAAAAAUGUAUAAAAUCCAUGGGGAAAGAUAUUCUUUAUAUGAUAUAUUCAUGAU